rnacentral:rRNA from 1 species
UCGCCAAGCCGCGAGGCGGAGCUAAUCCCACAAACGGCACCUCAGUUCGGAUUGCAGGCUGCAAUUCGCCUGCAUGAAGUCGGAAUUGGUAGUAAUCGCAGAUCAGCAGACUGCGGUGAAUACGUUCUCGCCUCUUGUACACACUGCCCGUCAAGCGAGGAGAGUUGGGGGUACCCGAAGACGUUUAUGCAACCGCAAGGAGCAUGACGUUGAAGGUGAACUCAGCGAUCAGCACUAAGUCGUAACAAGGUAGCCGUACUGGAAGGUGCGGCUGGAUCACCUCCUUUCUAAGGAG